UACGGGGGGGGCAAGCGUUGUUCGGAAUUACUGGGCGUAAAGGGCUCGUAGGUGGCCAACUAAGUCGGACGUGAAAUCCCUCAGCUUAACUGGGGAACUGCAUCCGAUACUGGAUGGCUUGAGUUUGGGAGAGGGAUGCGGAAUUCCAGGUGUAGCGGUGAAAUGCGUAGAUAUCUGGAGGAACACCGGUGGCGAAGGCGGCAUCCUGGACCAACACUGACACUGAGGAGCGAAAGCCAGGGGAGCAAACGGG
rnacentral:rRNA from 1 species